GACCCAGACUCCUACGGGAGGCAGCAGUGGGGAAUAUUGCACAAUGGGGGGAACCCUGAUGCAGCGACGCCGCGUGGGUGAAGGAGCACCUCGGUGCGUAAAGCCCUAUCGGCAGGGAAGAAACAGACGGUACCUGACUAAGAAGCCCCGACUAACUACGUGCCAGCAGCCGCGGUAAUACGUAGGGGGCAAGCGUUAACCGGAUUCACUGGGUGUAAAGGGAGCGUAGACGGCGACGCAAGUCUGGAGUGAAAGCCCGGGGCCCAACCCCGGGACUGCAUUUGGAUCUGUUAAGCUGGAGUGUCGGAGAGGCAGGCGGAAUUCCUGGUGUAGCGGUGAAAUGCGUAGAUAUCAGGAGGAACACCGGUGGCGAAGGCGGCCUGCUGGACUGCAACUGACGUUGAGGCCCGAAAGCGUGGGGAGCAAACAGGAUUAGAUACCCGCGUAUU
rnacentral:rRNA from 1 species